CUCACAGACAAGUAAUGCUCCAUUCAGCAUCUGUUAUAGCAGAUAUAUAUAUUAUCCAUGAGACACAGUGCUGCACCUUUUGAAUGCUGUUAGAGAUGGUGAUCAUCUGAGUCCUAAGCACUGCACAGGUGCAGGGAGCCUGUUAAAGAGAGACCCCUGUGCCUAUUCUCCUUUUUCUGAUAUUCUUUGCGAAAAGUUGCGCGCGGGACAUUUGGUGCCGAGAACCCGGGACAAAAAGCCACAUCAUCGCCGGCGCUACGAGAAGCCUCCGUUUCACGGAAGAAAUCCAGAAGCUGAUGCUACAAGAGUGUGCCAGCUGCCUGAGUGGUUGCUGAGACUUGCUGAUCCUGGUUAUUCAGCUCUCGUGGCUCGGGUCCCUGGAGUCAUCCCUCUGCCCUGAGACGAAGAUGAAAGAUUCCCCUUCAUCCUUUGUCAUCACAGAGAUUUUGCCGUUGCUGCAGUCAGUGUUACCGCUGCGCGUGUCCCGUCCCACUAUGGCCUGCUCUCUGACCCUCUGUACACUGCUGCUUGCUAGGGAAGACUGGACUCCAGCCGUUGCUGCCCCCUUCAUUUUCCCUGGUGACUCUUGCUGCCUUAACUGGUCAUUUUACAGACUGUAGCUUUACAGGAAUGCUACCUGCUUAAAGCUACAGUAGACUGGGGAACUCUGUCCUGGUUAUACAGAUCUCAGAAAUGGUUCCAUUGUCUGCUGGUUGUUCCAGAGAAACAUGACUGAUCCUGAACUGUCCUGGAAAAGACCUUGACACUUUCGCUGCUAUUGCAGCAGCCAUUACUGCUGCAGACAUAGUGUCUGCAGUGUCUGGAGUUAUCCUCCCCCAAUCUAUUGUUAGACAAGUACAGUGGGUGAACUUUCUAGAGUAGUUACUAACAAUUGGGAAUUCUAAAUUUUAUUAUAGGAGCGGCUUGACUACGGCCCUUGGUGGUAACAGCUGAGGUGGACCAAAUGAGGUGCCCACUACUUAUCGGGAGUGGCUCUGUCUGGUGCAGCCCUAUGCUGUGGAUCAGUGUUCAUACUAUGGUUGGUUUGCAAACUCAGAUCUCAACAGAAACGUGACAAGGCCGUUAUCACUCAAGUACUUGUGGCCAUUGUACUAGGGGCCUCCCCUGGAAUUUGGUUAUCUUGCUCAGGACUCUCUCUGUAUCUGAGUUCUCUGCUCCUGCACCCCAUGUAUCUGUGGAUCCAUUGCACUGGGAGGAGAGGGACUCUCUCUGUAUCUGAGUUCUCUGCUCGUGCACCCCAUGGAUCUGUGGAUCCAUUGCACUGGGAUGAGAGAGACUCAGUGAUCCUUUGAUCAGCCCGUGCACAUCGCUGAGGUUUCCUCAUUGCACGCGAUAGGGUGAUCAUGAUUUGUUAUAAAAUAAUUGAUUUGUUAUAAAAUAAAUAAAUAGGGGGAGAUGUAGAGGGCAGCAAUAACAUUUGCCAACACUAGAUGGUGCUGGCUUCCACUGUGCCCCACGUGGAAGGCCAGGAUAGCCUCCGCCAUUACAAGAUGGCGCCAGCCUUCGCCACGCCAGCCGGCCCCCUUUCAGGAAGUUAACUGUGCGCACGUGCAAGAGUGCCUUCGUGCCAGGUCUUUGCCCACUCCGGGGCGUGCCUUAUGAGAUCAUGGGUAAACAACAAAUCAGGUGUGGGUGCACCGCACUAGGGGUUUAUAAGCGCACCUUCUUGGCGCGGCGGGCGCUUCUGUUUAAGAUUAAAAUACAGUUUGGUCAUAGCAAGGAUUUCGAAAUGUCCGCGUGCUUCUUGCCAGCGGAAAGUCGCGCACGGGACAUCUGGUGGAACUUUUGGGAUCACUUAAAUAUACUAUCAUGUCAUCUGCAAAUAGUGAUAUUUUGACUUCUUUACCAAUCUGUAUCCCCUUGAUUUCCUUUUGUUGUCUGAUUGCUCUGGCUAGAACUUCAAGAACUAUAUUGAAUAAGUAGGGAGAGAGUGGGCAGCCUUGUCUAGUCCCUGAUUUUAGUGGGAUUGCUUCAAGUUUCUCUCCAUUUAGUUUAAUGUUAGCAACUGGUUUGCUGUAUAUGGCUUUUACUAUGUUUAGGUAUGGGCCUUGAAUUCCUAUUCUUUCCAGGACUUUUAUCAUGAAGGGGUGUUGAAUUUUGUCAAAUACUUUCUCAGCAUCUAAUGAAAUGAUUAUGUGGUUUUGUUCUUUCAGUUUGUUUAUAUAAUCGAUCACAUUGAUGGUUUUCCAUAUAUUAAACCAUCCCUGCAUGCCUGGGAUGAAGCCUACUUGAUCAUGGUGGAUGAUUCUUUUGAUGUGCACUUGGAUUCGGUUUGCCAGAAUUUUAUUGAGUAUUUUUGCAUCGAUAUUCAUACGGGAAAUUGGUCUGAAGUUCUCUUUCUUUGUUGGGUCUUUGUGUGGUUUAGGUAUAAGAGUAAUUGUGGCUUCAUAGAAGGAAUUCGGUAGUGGUCCAUAUGUUUCAAUUUUGUGGAAUAGUUUGGAUAAUAUUGGUAUGAGGUCUUCUAUGAAGGUCUGAUAGAAUUCUGCACUAAAACCGUCUGGACCUGGGCUCUUUUUGGUUGGGAGACCUUUAAUGACUGCUUUUAUUUCCUUAGGAGUUAUGGGGUGGUUUAACUGGUUUAUCUGUUCCUGAUUUAACUUCGGUACCUGGUAUCUGUCUAGGAAAUUGUCCAUUUCCUAAAGAUUUUCAAGUUUUGUUGAAUAUAGGCUUUUAUAGUAAGAUCUGAUGAUUUUUUUAAUUUCCUCUGAAUCUGUAGUUAUGUCUCCCUUUUCAUUUCUGAUUUUGUUAAUUUGGACACACUCUCUGUGUCUUCUCGUUAGUCGGGCUAACUGUUUAUCUAUCUUCUUGAUUUUCUCAAAGAACCAACUUCUGGUUCUGUUGAUUCUUUCUAUGGUCUUUUUGUUUCUAUUUGGCUGAUUUCAGCUCUGAGUUUGAUUAUUUCCUGUCUUCUACUCCUCCUGAGUGUAUUUGCUUCUUAUUGUUCUAGAGCUUUUAGGUGUGCUGUCAAGAUGCUUACAUAUGCUCUCUCCUGUUUCUUUCUGCAGGCACUCAGAGCUAUGAGUUUUCCUCUUAGCACAGCUUUCAUUGUGUCCCAUAAGUUUGGGUAUGUUGUACCUUCAUUUUCAUUAAAUUCUAAGAAGUCUUUAAUUUCUUUCUUUAUUUCUUCCUUGACCAGGUUAUCGUUGAGUAGAGCAUUGUUCAACUUCCACGUAUAUGUGGGCGUUCUUCCCUUUUUGUUAUUGAAGACCAGCUUUAGGCCGUGGUGGUCUGAUAGCACGCAUGGGAUUAUUUCUAUCUUUCUGUACCUGUUGAGGCCCGUUUUUUGACCAAUUAUAUGGUCAAUUUUGGAGAAAGUACCAUGAAGAGCUGAGAAGAAUGUAUAUCCUUUUGCUUUAGGAUAGAAUGUUCUAUAAAUAUCUGUUAAGUCCAUUUGGUACAUGACUUCUCUUAGUCUGUCUACGUCUCUGUUUGAUUUCUGUUUCCAUGAUCUGUCCAUUGAUGAGAGUGGGGUGUUGAAAUCUCCUACUAUUAUUGUGUGAGGUGCAAUGUGUGUUUUGAGCUUUAGUAAGGUUUCUUUUACGUAUGUAUGUGCCCUUGUAUUUGGGGCAUAGAUAUUUAGGAUUGAGAGUUCAUCUUGGUGGAUUUUUCCUUUGAUGAAUAUGAAGUGUCCUUCCUUAUCUUUUUUGAUGACUUUUAGUUGAAAAUUGAUUUUAUUCGAU
ensembl:lncRNA LOC120099261 uncharacterized LOC120099261